UCAUGGCUCAGGAUGAACGCUGGCGGCGUGCUUAACACAUGCAAGUCGAACGAUGAAGCUGGGGCUUGCUCUGGUGGAUUAGUGGCGAACGGGUGAGUAACACGUGAGCAACCUGCCCUGGACUCUGGGAUAAGCGCUGGAAACGGCGUCUAAUACUGGAUACGAGACGUGGCCGCAUGGUCAACGUUUGGAAAGAUUUUUCGGUCUGGGAUGGGCUCGCGGCCUAUCAGCUUGUUGGUGAGGUAAUGGCUCACCAAGGCGUCGACGGGUAGCCGGCCUGAGAGGGUGACCGGCCACACUGGGACUGAGACACGGCCCAGACUCCUACGGGAGGCAGCAGUGGGGAAUAUUGCACAAUGGGCGGAAGCCUGAUGCAGCAACGCCGCGUGAGGGAUGACGGCCUUCGGGUUGUAAACCUCUUUUAGCAGGGAAGAAGCGUGAGUGACGGUACCUGCAGAAAAAGCGCCGGCUAACUACGUGCCAGCAGCCGCGGUAAUACGUAGGGCGCAAGCGUUAUCCGGAAUUAUUGGGCGUAAAGAGCUCGUAGGCGGUUUGUCGCGUCUGCUGUGAAAUCCCGAGGCUCAACCUCGGGCCUGCAGUGGGUACGGGCAGACUAGAGUGCGGUAGGGGAGAUUGGAAUUCCUGGUGUAGCGGUGGAAUGCGCAGAUAUCAGGAGGAACACCGAUGGCGAAGGCAGAUCUCUGGGCCGUAACUGACGCUGAGGAGCGAAAGGGUGGGGAGCAAACAGGCUUAGAUACCCUGGUAGUCCACCCCGUAAACGUUGGGAACUAGUUGUGGGGUCCUUUCCACGGAUUCCGUGACGCAGCUAACGCAUUAAGUU
rnacentral:rRNA from 1 species